rnacentral:rRNA from 1 species
UACGGGGGGGGUAAGCGUUGUUCGGAAUUACUGGGCGUAAAGGGCUCGUAGGCGGCCAACUAAGUCGGACGUGAAAUCCCCAGGCUCAACCUGGGAACUGCGUCCGAUACUGGAUGGCUUGAAUUCGGGAGAGGGAUGCAGAAUUCCAGGUGUAGCGGUGAAAUGCGUAGAUAUCUGGAGGAAUACCGGUGGCGAAGGCGGCAUCCUGGACCGACAUUGACGCUGAUGAGCGAAAGCUAGGGGAGCAAACGGG